UACAGAGACUGCAAGCGUUAUUCGGAUUCACUGGGCGUAAAGGGUGCGCAGGUGGCCAAGUGUGUCAGGUGUGAAAUCCCGGAGCUUAACUCCGGAACUGCACCUGAAACUGCUUGGCUAGAGCAUCGGAGAGGGAAGUGGAAUUCACGGUGUAGCAGUGAAAUGCGUAGAUAUCGUGAGGAGCACCAGAGGCGAAGGCGACUUCCUGGACAAUUGCUGACACUCAGGCACGAAAGCGUGGGUAGCCAAAGGG
rnacentral:rRNA from 1 species